UACGGGGGGGGGCAAGCGUUGUUCGGAAUUACUGGGCGUAAAGGGCUCGUAGGCGGCCAACUAAGUCAGACGUGAAAUCCCUCGGCUUAACCGGGGGAACUGCAUCUGAUACUGGAUGGCUUGAGUUUGGGAGAGGGUCGCGGAAUUCCCGGUGUAGAGGUGAAAUUCGUAGAUAUCGGGAGGAACACCAGUGGCGAAGGCGGCGAUCUGGGUCGAUACUGACGCUGAGGUGCGAAAGCGUGGGGAGCAAACAGG
rnacentral:rRNA from 1 species